rnacentral:lncRNA from 1 species
GGCUACAGUGACUCACUGCCAGGAAUGGAAAGAGGUGACCAAGCUGAUGAGCUGACUUUCUACUGCACCAUUCCUCAUUUUAUUACAGCAUCUUGUUGUCUGCCACUCCAGGGCACAUACAACUGCUGCAACCCAACCAGCUGUUUCACUGUCCCUUUUCUCAAGCACAUCAAGACGACAAAGCAGCCCAUGAAGAUGUGAUCAACAACACAACCAUGGAGCUGGACACCCCACCCUGCCAAUCAGCUAGCUGCCAGUACUUUCUACUUUGUGAGCACUGUCUUCCACAAGCUCUCAGCCUUCAUGGAACCUCAGGCAGUGAGGCAAGGCAGAUGCUUUCAAGAGGUACUAGAAGACGUAGUAAAGUGCAGACAUGGACAAGUGUCUUGCAAAGAGAAGGCAGAAGAACAUCAGGAAUGCACCUACAAUAGAGACAUGGCCAGGUAAAACACAUCCUAUGCCGUCAGCAGCUAUGCCAAACCUUCCU